CCGAACCGACUAAUGUUGAAAAAUUAGCGGAUGACCUGUGGCUGGGGGUGAAAGGCCAAUCAAACCGGGAGAUAGCUGGUUCUCCCCGAAAGCUAUUUAGGUAGCGCCUCGUGAAUUCAUCUCCGGGGGUAGAGCACUGUUUCGGCUAGGGGGCCAUCCCGGCUUACCAACCCGAUGCAAACUGCGAAUACCGGAGAAUGUUAUCACGGGAGACACACGGCGGGUGCUAACGUCCGUCGUGAAGAGGGAAACAACCCAGACCGCCAGCUAAGGUCCCAAAGUCAUGGUUAAGUGGGAAACGAUGUGGGAAGGCCCAGACAGCCAGGAUGUUGGCUUAGAAGCAGCCAUCAUUUAAAGAAAGCGUAAUAGCUCACUGGUCGAGUCGGCCUGCGCGGAAGAUGUAACGGGGCUAAACCAUGCACCGAAGCUGCGGCAGCGACACUGUGUGUUGUUGGGUAGGGGAGCGUUCUGUAAGCCUGUGAAGGUGUGUCGUGAGGCAUGCUGGAGGUAUCAGAAGUGCGAAUGCUGACAUAAGUAACGAUAAAGCGGGUGAAAAGCCCGCUCGCCGGAAGACCAAGGGUUCCUGUCCAACGUUAAUCGGGGCAGGGUGAGUCGACCCCUAAGGCGAGGCCGAAAGGCGUAGUCGAUGGGAAACGGGUUAAUAUUCCCGUACUUGGUGUUACUGCGAAGGGGGGACGGAGAAGGCUAUGUUGGCCGGGCGACGGUUGUCCCGGUUUAAGCGUGUAGGCUGGUUUUCCAGGCAAAUCCGGAAAAUCAAGGCUGAGGCGUGA
rnacentral:rRNA from 3 species